rnacentral:rRNA from 1 species
CAGCAGCCGCGGUAAUACCGGCGGCCCGAGUGGCGGUCACUCUUAUUGGGCUUAAAGCGUCCGUAGCCGGGUUGGGAAGUCCUCCGGGAAAUCUGGCCGCUUAACGGUCAGAAUGCCGGAGGAUACUCCCAGCCUAGGGAGCGGGAGAGGCCGAGGGUAUUCCCGGAGUAGGGGGGAAAUCCUAUAAUCCCGGGAGGACCACCUGUGGCGAAGGCGCUCGGCUGGAACGCGUCCGACGGUGAGGGACGAAGGCCAGGGGAGCAAACCGGAUUAGAUACCCGGGUAGUCCUGGCUGUAAACGAUGCGGACUUUGUGUCGGACAAGCUAUGAGCUUGUCCGGUGCCGGAGGGAAACCGUUAAGUCCGCCGCCUGGGGAGUACGGCCGCAAGGCUGAAACUUAAAGGAAUUGGCGGG